rnacentral:misc_RNA from 1 species
GCAUCAGUUUGGAGGGUGCAAUGUCCUGUACUAGGAAUUUUCAGAGGUGGCAGAUUUGAAGCCACUGCUUUAAGGGCCUUGACUGCCUCUGGUUGUUCCUUUCCCCAAGGAGGUGCAGUCUUCUUGAGCAUAUUUGAAAGUUUGCAGGUGUGUGUAGCGACAUGAGGUAUUAACUUUAUAAUGUAAUUGACAAUGCCUAAGAAUUGUUGUAUUUGUUUUGUUGAUAAGUCUUUGUCAGGGAACUUUAGCAAUUCUUCUGCAAUAUGUGGCCCCAGCUGGUGCCUUUCAUUUUUAAAUCGCGUUCCAAGGUAAUCGAUAUCAGAUUUGUGCCAAAGAAUUCUUCUUUUCAGACAGCAUUAUGCCAUAAGAUUCCAAUAUGGAUUGAAAAGUAGUCAAAAGUGCUUUAUAAGCCGUGACGUUUUUUGAGAACAGUAGGAUGUCAUCGAUGUAAAUGAGAACACUAUGGAGUAUAUGCUCAAAUAUCUUUGUUAUGGCUUUCUGGAAAAUAGAAGGUGUUGUCUUU